rnacentral:misc_RNA from 1 species
GAUGAAGAACGCAGCGAAAUGCGAUAAUUAAUGUGAAUUGCAGAAUUCAGUGAAUCAUCGAAUCUUUGAACGCACAUUGCGCCUCCUGGUAUUCCGGGAGGCACGCCUGUCCGAGCGCCAUUACACCCCCCAAGCCAUGCUUGAUGUUGGGCCAUGACGCGCUGUCAAGCCCCAAACCUUUAGGCGCCCCCUACUGGCCGCGAGCGUAGCAAGAAUUUUUUUCCCUCGUUCCGCGUGUCCAAUGGGUGGGUCGCCGAUUGACCCCUAAAUUUUACAAGGUUUGGCCUCGGAUCAGGCGGGGAUACCCGCUGAACUUAAGCAUAUCAAUAAGCGGAGGA